rnacentral:rRNA from 1 species
UUCCUACGGGGGGCUGCAGUGGGGAAUCUUGCGCAAUGCGCGAAAGCGUGACGCAGCAACACCGCGUGAGGGAAGACGGCCUUCGGGUUGUAAACCUCUUUCAGGAGGGACGAAGGUCGGCCGGUUAACAGCCGCGCCGGCUGACGGUACCUCCAGAAGAAGCUCCGGCUAACUACGUGCCAGCAGCCGCGGUAAUACGUAGGGAGCAAGCGUUGUCCGGAAUCAUUGGGCGUAAAGCGCGCGUAGGCGGCCCGAUAAGUCCGCUGUGAAAGUCAACGGCUCAACUGUUGAAAGCCGGUGGAUACUGUCGGGCUAGAGUACGGAAGAGGCAAGUGGAAUUCCUGGUGUAGCGGUGGAAUGCGCAGAUAUCAGGAGGAACACCCAUAGCGAAGGCAGCUUGCUGGGACGUUACUGACGCUAAGGCGCGAAAGCGUGGGGAGCGAACAGGAUUAGAUACCCUGGUAGUC